rnacentral:lncRNA from 1 species
AGAGGUUGAGGCAGGAGAAUCGCUUGAACCCAGGAAGCGGAGGUUGCCUUGAGCUGAGAUCAUGCGACUGCACUCCAGCCUGGGCGACAGAGCGAGCCUCUGUCUCGGAAAAAAAAAAAAAAAAGAAAAAAGAAAACAGCAUCAAAACCAAGGAAUGUCUGAGAAACUAUGACAACCAAGAGAAGCCCAAGGAGACAUGGCAACUAAAUGUAAAGUCGUCUCCUGGCUGGGAUACUGGAGCAGAAAAAAGGACAUCAGAGAUAGGAUCUUGCUGUUGCCCAGUCUGGCUUCAAGGGAUCCUCCCAUCUUGGCGGCCCAAAGUGUUGGGAUUACAAGUGUGAACCACCACGCCCGGCCUUAGAAUCUUAUUGCUGAUCUCAAGGGAAUAAUUUGGUGACUGUCAUGUGAAAUGCCACCUUCACAAACAAAUCCAUCUUCUCACUUUAUGCAGCAGUAUCAGUUAAGAAAAACGAAGAUUGACACCAAAGAAAAAAAACUUUGAAUAGAAUAAAGAAGUCCAACUAUUUUUUUUUUUUUUUGAGAUGGAAUUUCACUCUUCUUGCCCAGGCUGGAGUGCAAUGGUGCGAUCUCAGCUCACUGAAACCUCUGCCUCCAGGUUCAAGCAAUUCUCCUGCCUCAGCCUCCUGAGUAGCUGGGAUUACAGGCAUGUGCCACCAUGCCUGGCUAAUUUUGUAUUUUUAGUAGAGAUGGGGUUUCUCCAUGUUGGUCAAGCUAGUCUCGAACUCCCAACCUUGGGCGAUCCACCCACGUCAGCCUCCCAAAGUGCUGGGAUUACAGGCGUGAGCCACCACACCUGGCUUUUUUUUUUUUUUUUUAGAUGAAGUCUUGCUCUGUUGCCCAGGCUGGCGUGCAAUGGCUCCAUCUUGGCUCACUGCAACCUCCACCUCCUGUGUUCAAGCGAUUCUUCUGCCUCAGCCUCCCGAGUAACUGGGAUUACAGACACACACCACCACACCUAGCUAAGUUUUGUAUUUUUAGUAGGGAUGGGGUUUCACCAUGUUGGCUAGGCUGGUUUUGAACUCCUGACCUUAAGUGAUCUGCCCACCUCGGCCUCCCAAAGUGCUGGGAUUACAGGCGUGAGCCACCAUGCCUGGCCCAACUACUUUAAAUAAUUCUUUCUAUUCUAACAGGUGUGUAAAAGUGGCAUGAUCAUGUGAGGUGAAUAAGAACUAUUGUAUCUCAUUGCUAUCCCUUCGAAGUUGAUACUAUAUCCCAGUACCAUAUUCAGAUGAGGAAAAUUGAGUCUUGAAGAGAUUAUGAAUCUGCCCAAGAUCACAGAGCUAGCAAGUGACGAAACUAAAAUUCAAACCCAGGUUUUUUUUGUUUUUUUUUUUUUUUUGAGACAGAGUCUUGCUCUGUUGCUCAGGCUAGAGUGCAGUGGUGCGAUCUUGACUGAAACCUCUGCCUCCUGGGUUCGAGCGAUUCUCCUGUCUCAGCCUCUUGAGCAGCUGGGAUUACAGGCGCCGGCCACCACACCCACCUAAUUUUUGUAUUUUCAGUAGAGACAGGGUUUCACCAUGUUGGCCAGGCUGGUCUCAAACUCCUGGCCUCAGGUGAUCUGCCUGCCUCAGCCUCCUAAAGUGCUGGGAUUACAGGCAUGAGCCACUGCACCUGGCAAGAGUAAAUAUUUUUAAAUGAGACAUUAAGACCUGGGUUUUGGCUGCGUACAGUGGCUCACGCCUGUCAUCUCAGCUCUUUGGGAAGUCAAGUCAGGAGGAUCAUCAGCAGUCAGGUGUUUGAGACCAGCCUGGCCAACAUGGCAAAACCCUGUCUCUACUAAAAAUACAAAAAUUAGCCAAGCAUAUUGGUGGGUACCUGUAAUCCCAGCUACUCGGGAGGGUGAGGCAGGAGAAUUGCUUGAACCUGGGAGGCAGAGUUUGCAGUGAGCUGAGACCAUGCCGUUACACUCCCGCCUGGGCAACAAGAGCGAAAUUCUGUCUUAAAAUAAAAUAAAAUAAAAAUAUUCACUCUUAACUCUUUGGCAAUAUUUCCUCCCACCGUGUGACAGUCGAGGUUAUUCACUGCACUGUAGAGUAG